rnacentral:rRNA from 1 species
UACGUAGGUGGCAAGCGUUGUCCGGAUUUACUGGGCGUAAAGAGCGCGCAGGCGGUCAUUCAAGUCGCGUGUGAAAGCCCCCGGCUCAACUGGGGAGGGUCACGCGAUACUGAUCGACUCGAAGGCAGGAGAGGGUAGUGGAAUUCCCGGUGUAGUGGUGAAAUGCGUAGAUAUCGGGAGGAACACCAGUGGCGAAGGCGACUACCUGGCCUGU